GUGUGUGCGUGUUUCUCUCUCUCUCUCUCUCUCUCUCUCUCUCUCUCUCUCUGUGUGUGUGUGUGUGAGAGAGAGAGAGAGAGAGAGAGAGAGAGAGAAAGAAAGAGAGAGAGAGAGAGUUUAG
rnacentral:miRNA from 1 species